rnacentral:rRNA from 1 species
GAACGGUGAACACGGAGCUUGCUCUGUGGGAUCAGUGGCGAACGGGUGAGUAACACGUGAGCAACCUGCCCCUGACUCUGGGAUAAGCGCUGGAAACGGCGUCUAAUACUGGAUAUGUGACGUGACCGCAUGGUCUGCGUUUGGAAAGAUUUUUCGGUUGGGGAUGGGCUCGCGGCCUAUCAGCUUGUUGGUGAGGUAAUGGCUCACCAAGGCGUCGACGGGUAGCCGGCCUGAGAGGGUGACCGGCCACACUGGGACUGAGACACGGCCCAGACUCCUACGGGAGGCAGCAGUGGGGAAUAUUGCACAAUGGGCGCAAGCCUGAUGCAGCAACGCCGCGUGAGGGAUGACGGCCUUCGGGUUGUAAACCUCUUUUAGCAGGGAAGAAGCGAAAGUGACGGUACCUGCAGAAAAAGCGCCGGCUAACUACGUGCCAGCAGCCGCGGUAAUACGUAGGGCGCAAGCGUUAUCCGGAAUUAUUGGGCGUAAAGAGCUCGUA